rnacentral:sRNA from 1 species
UGAAACUAAUUUCAUACUACAUGCUUAC